GAAUAAAGACAAAUUCCUCCCAAAACAUACAUAUGAAAUUCGUCCCAAAUGCAACUCAAAUUCCUCCCAAAACAUACAUAUGAAAUUCGUCCCAAAUGCAACUCAAAUUCCUCCCAAAACAUACAUAUGAAAUUCGUACCAAACUUUAAUCAUCCGCUUCCCAAUAAUUUCCCAUCUCCCUUUCCCUUUCAGAUCCGAUCACCUCAUCUCCGGAAUGCUGAUCUAAAUUUCCAUGUUUUUUUUGGGAGACCUGGUAAGGGAACAUGUCGGAUUCAGGUUUCUAGCAUAGAAGGCGGUGCCAAUAGAAGUCAAUGACAUGUUGCGCUUUUUAUGACACUGGUGAACGUCAAAGGCGUUUUGUAAUGAAUCGACUGGAGGCUAAUUAACUCUAAACAUUCAAAUGUGUAUGAACACAAAAAGAAUUUGUGUACAGACAAAAUUAAGGGAGAAAUUUUCAUUCAUUAUAAGGAAAAGACAUGUAACUUUUGAAGAGUUUGUUCGAAAAGCUAAUGAGGAGAAUUCAUUGUCUAGGCUUAUUCUAGAUGUUAAAUUAGAAUUAUUCUAAGUUGGUGACAAACUUAUAACAAUGGCAUGUGUUGCUUUGGUCAGCUCGGAAGCUUAUGUAAGAUAAUGCAAUAUGAGUUGAAUUCACUUAUACAAUGAGGUUGAUCUUGUUCAA